UACGUAGGGUGCAAGCGUUAAUCGGAAUUACUGGGCGUAAAGCGUGCGCAGGCGGCUUUGCAAGACAGAUGUGAAAUCCCCGGGCUUAACCUGGGAACUGCAUUUGUGACUGCACGGCUAGAGUGUGUCAGAGGGGGGUAGAAUUCCACGUGUAGCAGUGAAAUGCGUAGAGAUGUGGAGGAAUACCGAUGGCGAAGGCAGCCCCCUGGGAUAACACUGACGCUCAUGCACGAAAGCGUGGGGAGCAAACAGG
rnacentral:rRNA from 1 species